UACGAAGGGGGCUAGCGUUGUUCGGAAUUACUGGGCGUAAAGCGUGCGCAGGCGGCUUCUCAAGUCAGGGGUGAAAGCCCAGAGCUCAACUCUGGAAUUGCCUUUGAGACUGAGAGGCUUGAGUACGGGAGAGGUGAGUGGAAUUCCCAGUGAUAGAGGUGAAAUUCGUAGAUAUUGGGAAGAACACCGGUGGGCGAAGGCGGCUCACUAGGCCCGGAAACUGACGGCUCAUGCACGACAGCGUGGGGAUCAAACAGG
rnacentral:rRNA from 1 species